GCAGUCGAACGAUGAAGCUCCAGCUUGCUGGGGUGGAUUAGUGGCGAACGGGUGAGUAACACGUGAGUAACCUGCCCUUCACUCUGGGAUAAGCCUUGGAAACGGGGUCUAAUACUGGAUAUUCAUACAUGGUCGCAUGGUUGUGUGUGGAAAGAUUUUUUGGUGGGGGAUGGACUCGCGGCCUAUCAGCUUGUUGGUGAGGUAGUGGCUUACCAAGGCUUUGACGGGUAGCCGGCCUGAGAGGGUGACCGGCCACACUGGGACUGAGACACGGCCCAGACUCCUACGGGAGGCAGCAGUGGGGAAUAUUGCACAAUGGGCGAAAGCCUGAUGCAGCGACGCCGCGUGAGGGAUGACGGCCUUCGGGUUGUAAACCUCUUUCAGUAGGGACGAAGCGAGAGUGACGGUACCUGCAGAAGAAGCACCGGCUAACUACGUGCCAGCAGCCGCGGUAAUACGUAGGGUGCGAGCGUUGUCCGGAAUUAUUGGGCGUAAGAGCUUGUAGGCGGUUUGUCGCGUCUGCUGUGAAAGACCGGGGCUUAACUCCGGUUCUGCAGUGGGUACGGGCAGGCUAGAGUAUGGUAGGGGAGACUGGAAUUCCUGGUGUAGCGGUGAAAUGCGCAGAUAUCAGGAGGAACACCGAUGGCGAAGGCAGGUCUCUGGGCCAUUACUGACGCUGAGAAGCGAAAGCAUGGGGAGCGAACAGGAUUAGAUACCCUGGUAGUCCAUGCCGUAAACGUUGGGCGCUAGGUGUGGGACUCAUUCCACGAGUUCCGUGCCGCAGCUAACGCAUUAAGCGCCCCGCCUGGGGAGUACGGCCGCAAGGCUAAAACUCAAAGGAAUUGACGGGGGCCCGCACAAGCGGCGGAGCAUGCGGAUUAAUUCGAUGCAACGCGAAGAACCUUACCAAGGCUUGACAUACACCGGAAGCAUGCAGAGAUGUGUGUGCCUUUUGGCUGGUGUACAGGUGGUGCAUGGUUGUCGUCAGCUCGUGUCGUGAGAUGUUGGGUUAAGUCCCGCAACGAGCGCAACCCUCGUUCCAUGUUGCCAGCACGUGAUGGUGGGGACUCAUGGGAGACUGCCGGGGUCAACUCGGAGGAAGGUGGGGAUGACGUCAAAUCAUCAUGCCCCUUAUGUCUUGGGCUUCACGCAUGCUACAAUGGCUGGUACAGAGGGCUGCGAUACCGUGAGGUGGAGCGAAUCCCUUAAAACCGGUCUCAGUUCGGAUUGGGGUCUGCAACUCGACCCCAUGAAGUUGGAGUCGCUAGUAAUCGCAGAUCAGCAGUGCUGCGGUGAAUACGUUCCCGGGCCUUGUACCCCACCGCCC
rnacentral:rRNA from 1 species